rnacentral:rRNA from 1 species
AUGAACGCUGGCGGCGUGCCUAAUACAUGCCAGUCGAGCGAACAGAUGAGGAGCUUGCUCCUCUGACGUUAGCGGCGGACGGGUGAGUAACACGUGGAUAACCUACCUAUAAGACUGGGAUAACUUCGGGAAACCGGAGCUAAUACCGGAUAAUAUAUUGAACCGCAUGGUUCAAUAGUGAAAGACGGUUUUGCUGUCACUUAUAGAUGGAUCCGCGCCGCAUUAGCUAGUUGGUAAGGUAACGGCUUACCAAGGCAACGAUGCGUAGCCGACCUGAGAGGGUGAUCGGCCACACUGGAACUGAGACACGGUCCAGACUCCUACGGGAGGCAGCAGUAGGGAAUCUUCCGCAAUGGGCGAAAGCCUGACGGAGCAACGCCGCGUGAGUGAUGAAGGUCUUCGGAUCGUAAAACUCUGUUAUUAGGGAAGAACAAAUGUGUAAGUAACUAAGCACGUCUUGACGGUACCUAAUCAGAAAGCCACGGCUAACUACGUG